AGGACGGGCCGAGGGAUCGCCGUCGGGAGCCUGCGGGUUCACCGUGCGGAGGAAAGUCCGAGCUCCGCAAGGCAGGAUGCCGGGUAACGCCCGGGCGCCGCGAGGCGACGGAAAGUGCCGCAGAGAGCAGACCGCCGAUGGCCUCUCGCAACGAGGGGCACAGGCAAGGGUGAAAGGGUGCGGUAAGAGCGCACCGGGCCGCUGGCAAC
rnacentral:RNase_P_RNA from 1 species